rnacentral:rRNA from 1 species
AGCUCCAAUAGCGUAUAUUAAAGUUGUUGCAGUUAAAAAGCUCGUAGUUGGAUUUCUGGUGGGAGGGAUCGGUCCUGCAUUCUUUGUAGGAACUUGUAUCCUCUCCGGCCAUCCUUGGGUGGAUCUUGUCUGGCAUUAAGUUGUCAGGCAGGGGAUGCCCAUCGUUUACUGUGAAAAAAUUAGAGUGUUCAAAGCAGGCUUAUGCCAUUGAAUAUAUUAGCAUGGAAUAAUAAGAUAGGGCCCUGGUACUAUUUUGUUGGUUUGCGUACCGAGGUAAUGAUUAAUAGGGACAGUUGGGGGUAUUUGUAUUCAGUAUUCGGUGGUGAAAUACUUAGACCUACGGAAGACAAACUACUGCGAAAGCAUUUGCCAAGAAUGUUU